GAGCAGCCCACCCAGCUCCGAUUCCUCACCAGUGGAAGAAACGGUCAGGUUGGAUGUCCCUAUGGGCCCUCCCUGCUUGUAUUCUCAAAUUCUUUAAGUUUACAUUUCAAAGGAAAAAUAAUACUCACUCAUGCUUACAGAACACUCACCACAAGUCAGGCACUGCUCAGUGAUUUGUAUACACUGAUUCAUUUCAUCCUUAUAACACCCUACGAGGGUUAUGACUCUCCCCAUCCUACAGAUGAGGAAGCUGAGGCACAGUUGGACAGGCCAGGCUCAUCAGUGGAAAUGCUGGGAGUAGACCCCACCAGUCUGGGUUUAGAGUUCUUGCUGAUGACCACUGCUGAGCCCCUGGGCCCCCUCUCCCACUGUUCCAUCCGCAGGAAGUUCUCCUGUCUGACCUGAAGCCUCACUUUCUUUCUUCAGUCCUUUCUACAGUCUCUUCUUUCCCAGACUUAAUCAUCUAUGUCUUUUUAGACUUCCCUCCAAAGUAUUAGCCUCUGUUAUUUUAAUUCCCUCCCACAUUCUCCCUCAAGUAAUUCCAAACAGGGUAUACAGUGGGGAGGUCUUCGUUCUGGGGACCAGGCCAGCGAAAAGCCUGUGGCCAUGGAGGCGAUGUCACUUAAAAGAGAGCGCUCCCCAAGGCCAAGCAAAGACCUCAGGGAGGAGUCUGCGCUGGGAGUGGGCGGGGCCGGAACCGGAAAUCCUACUGGGCACCCUGGAGCUGAAGAUUCAGGCGCUUCAGUUGCCUCUGUCUCCCGCUUGUGAGAAGUCCCGCGAUGGGUGUUCUUUUCAUCUUCCCAACGUCCUGUAAUAGAGUUUUCACUCCCCACCAUGACCGCUCCCGCUGUUUCCGAGAUCAGGAAACUUGCACUAAUAUUUUGACUAAGUGGUGGUACUGAGAUUUACUUUCAGGUCUAACUUCAAAGCUCAUGUUCUCUCUACUACAUCAUUAAAUAAGUGUUUUUUAAAUACCUCUCAGUGCUUGACACUGCAUUGUUUGUGGCUGUCAGGGAGGAUCGGGACUGGCCCAAACGUGGGCAACUUCUUUCUUUGGAAACAAGUCAACACGUGGUGGGUGAGAGCCAUGCCAGGUAGCACGAGUAGAGACCCCAUCAGAGCAGUGGCAUGGAGAGGAUGCUUCUGCUCUGCAGCUGGCAAUGGAAUCGGGGGACUGGACUCUUCUUGAAGGUCCCUGCACCGCCGGUUGAGGGGCACAUCAUUCUCAAAGAGAAAUGUACCCAACAUCUAUUUGCAGACCCAGAAGAGUGGUGUGAGGACUCACGUGACAGUGCUCUCAUGCCCCAGCCCACGGCCACGCCCGAGGCAACAGUUGGUAGCAGUUUGAGCUCUAACUGCAGAGGCGGCUCUUGGAAAGGGCCGACACCCACAACCCGCCCUCCGCCAGCGGCCCUCACUCCACCUCCCCGGGCCCUGGAAGGCGCGUCCUAUGAGCUCAUUUGUCCUGGGGCAUUAGAUGCGCUCCCUGUGGAACCAGGACGCUGAGCCUGGAAGGAAGUUGGCGGGCGGGGCGAGCUUUGCCCCAUCGAGAGAAGAAGUUUCUAAAUUCAGAAGGGGGCAAAACCGGGACCCAGCCUUGCGCCGUGUCCUCUUCCCUGGGGUGAUGGAAUUUCUGACAUCGUUAGUAGUUCUGGGACUGUUGUGGAGCCUGAAACCGUUGCUACCGGCCCUUCCAGUUCCGCCUCAGCCCAGCAUCGCCUCCACCACGCAGUUCACACACCACAAAUGCCCACACAUAUAGGAGGCCUCUCCUGGACCACCACGCAGGACAGUAACUCAAACAGUGAUGAUACUCAAGAGUUUCUGCGAGGAUCAAAUGAAUAAUUACAGAUAAUGUGCUUAGAACAGUGCCUGCCUUAUAGACGACAUCUAACUCCGGAGGUGCUGGGGGAGGAGGAGCCUCAAAGGACCGCCGCUCGCUCGGCCUUCGCGGGGCAAUGGCGACACCUGGUGGUCAUGGCAAGAAGCGGAGGCGCCUCCCCGCCUCUCUGGUUCCCUCGGCCGCUCCACGACGCUUCUGUCCCUUCUCCGUCGCCCGCGCCCGCCCCGCGGCUCCACCCUGCCGGGGACCGCGCUCCUCCGUCCCCUUCCAGCUCGCCCCCAGGGCCGCGCGCCCAGGCUUUGCCGCCCCUCCUGGGGGCCAGCCCUGCCCAGGCUGGGGGCCAGCCGGCUCAGUGCCAGGGGCCCGCGAGCAGCAGAAUGUCACUCCUGUUUGGCUCUAGUCUCCCUCCAGGAUGCCUGUCCCCUGGCCACCUGUUGGCCUCCUAGUAUAUACGGUUCCAGUUCCUGCUGGCAGUUCUGUGGGAAUUCAGAGCCAGUGCUGAAGAAGAGCCUCCCCAGGGACUGAGGUGUCCUCUGCCUCACACUGUCACCCCGCAAACGGCUUGCCUCGUACCUGAAAUCCGGCUGCCGGUGCCCAAAGCUCAGAGUGUCAGCCUCGCUGAGGCUGGAUCGGGGGCUCUCUGGACAUGCCCGAGACGGCAGGCGCGGGGAGCGUGCACGGAUAAACAAACUGAAGCUUAAAGAAUUGAUAGAAGUCGAUGAAGGUGAAGGAUGAGGAACCUCAGGUCUGAUGGAUGCCAAGACCCCUGGACCAGGACAUACAGGCCCCAGGCGUCUGCAGUGACUGACUGAGGUAUACCCGUGCAGAGAUUACUAUCACAGUGCUGUUUCACCCUCAGGGGACGGUUUUGCACACUACUCCAUCUCCUGUCCAAGUAGCCCUUUUGUUGAUCCUCAGUGUACCAAGGAAAUGUGACUCCAGGAGCCCAGGAGGUGUUCAGCCAAGUCCUCCUGCCCUGACCUUGUCCUGGGUGAUGUCACAGACUCGCUCUCAUGCCGCCCGUGUGCCCCUCAGCCUUCUCGUUCCAGGUCUCAGUGGGUUCCCUUAAGGACACUGUGACAUGUGCCACCACCAUCUCACUCCACGGAGAGCCAGCCUGAAGCCCCCAGCACAGAGCCUGGUUCAGUGGGCACCCGUUAGACCUUUGAAGAACGGAUGAAUGAAUGCUGUGUUAAUUUCCUAGAGCUGCUGUAACAAAGCGCCACAAACAAGGUGGCUUAAAAACAGCAGAAACUUGCUUUCUCACAAUUCUGGAGGCCAGAAGUCCAAAAUCAAGGUGUCGGCACAGUCAUGCUCCCCUGACGACUGUAGGCAGGGUCCUUCCUUGCCUCUUCCACCUUCUGGGGGUGACUAGCAGGCCUUGGCAGUCCUUGGCUCGUAGAUGCAUCACCAGUCUCCACCUCUGUCUUCGAGGAGCCCUCUCCCUGUGUCAGCCUGUGUCUCCUUUCGCUUUUACAAGCACACCAGUCACAUUGGAUUAGGUCCCACCCCAAUGACCUCAUCUCAACUUGACCACAUCUGCAAAGACCUUAUUUCAAAAUAAGGUCCCACGCACAGGCACAGGAGUUAGGACUUCAACAUAGCCUUUUGAGGGACACAAUUCAACCCAUAAUAAUUGUCAAGGGCAAUUUGCUUGUGGUUUGACUUUCAAUUAAAAUUAAAGCUCGCGGGUUUGGUUUGUCCAGCGAGUGAAAGGUUGGCAGCAUUUAUGAGGUGGUGUCGCCUUACACACUGCAGAGAUGUACUUGUUUCAUCCGUGACUCCUUUCCUUUUUAUUAGUCCAUCAGUGAUGCUUUUGUGGUCACAGUAAUGACAGUGUUUACUCCAGGCUAAAGUGCCUGUGCUCCUCGCUCUCUCUUUCAUGUUAGGUGUUAAAAUGGAAUAUUAACUUGGAAUAUAGCCUCUCCUUCCUGUGCAGUGGCAAGAAGCAUUCUAAAGUCAAAAUAAGUCAAGCUGACCUCACAUUCCUUUUUUUUUCUUUCUAUUUUUUCUCCCCAAAUGCCCCCAGUGCAUAGUUGUAUAUUUUAGUUGUGGGUCCUUCUAGUCGUGUCAUGUGGGAUGCUGCCUCAACGUGGUUCCAGUGGUGCCAUAGUCCAUGCCCAGGAUCCGAACCAGUGAAACCCUGGGCCGCCAGAGCUGGGCACACGAACUUAACCACUCGGUCAUGGGGCCGGCCCCUGACCUCACAUUCUAACUGACGUCCAAACUCCUCUGCCUGGGCCUUAAGCCUUAAGCCCAGCCCCAACUCUCCUUUCCUGCUGCCGCUCCUCCUUUCGCACACUCUUGGGGCUCCACGCACACUGCUGCUUCCUCUUCCUGGAAAUACCCCUUGGACUUUCACAUUCACACCUUUGCUGUAUCGUACCUGGAGUCCCCUUCCUGUAUCCAGCUCUUCCUGUUCAAAUUCCACCCAAUCUUUCAGGCCAAGUUCAAAGGCCACCUCCUCCAGGAAGCUUUCCCUGAUCCUCCAGCUUCCUGCUCAGAAGGCCAGUGGCUCUGGUCGGCCUUCACUUAAGGCACUGACCACACACUGCUCCAGUCUGAAGCAAAUUUAUGUCUUUCCCCCAUUCCCUCUACUCCUACUAAAGAGUAAUGAAGAAAAGUCUAGAGGCCACUUAUUUAAGAAAUGGCUGAGGUUGCUGGGGAUGUUCGCUUGGAGAAAAGAAUAUGUCCAGGGAGGCAGGUGCCCCAAGCUUCCUUCAAGGGCUCAGAUUCUAUCAGACUAGGAGCUCCUUGUGGAAACUACACCUGGGCCUCUUCAGAGGUCCUUUAUACACACACACACACACAAACACCUGUGCCUAGCACAGAGCAGGGCUCCAAUAUAACCUCCUGCCCAAUGGAAAAGUUCUCUCUUUUGCACACUUUUCAGGUGGUGUGGUAAGCAGAAUUCUAAGAUGGCCCCCAAGACUUCCCGCACCCCAGGUGUGCCUGCCCUGAGUAAUCCCUAGGACUGUGAAGAUGAUGGUUUCACUCCUGUGAUUAGGUCAGGAUAUACGGCCCAGUUGAUGUUAAAAUAGAGAGAGUAUCUGAGUGAGCCUGUCCUCAUCACCGGAGCCCUUUAAAAGCAGAGUUUCCUCCAGCUGGUCACAAAAGGGGAAGUCAAAGUGUGAGAGGGAUGUGACUCGGGGGAGGUCCUCCAGGGCUAAGGUGGAGGGGCCACAUGACAAGGACCUGAGAGUGGCCUCUAGGUGCUGAGAGCAGUUCCCAACCACCAGCCAGCAAGACAACAGGCAUUCAGUCCUACAACCAUAAGGAAGUGAAUUCGACCAACAACUGAGGAAGCUGGGAAGAGGGUCUUUCCCUAGUCGGAGCCUCCAGAUGAGGACAUGGUUGGCCGACAUCUUGGUUUCAGCCUCAUGAGACCCUGAGCAGGGGGAACGGCUAAAAUGUGCUGGACUCUUGACCCAUGGAAACCAUGAGCUAAUAAAUGGCUGUUAUGUUAAUCUGUUCUGUGUGUGGUAAUUUGUUAUACAGCCAUAGAAAACUAACACAGGUGGUCAACUCCGCAGGCACCGCCAGGACAAAGCACACCCCCCAAUCCACUGUAGGAA
rnacentral:lncRNA from 1 species